UGUAAAGAAACUUAGACAUUCAGUUUUUACCAGUCCUUCCAAAAAAAUGGGGAGUUUUUUUGUGAUUGUUGCGGGAAACAAAUUCUUGGUUAUGCGGCACGUUUUCUUAAAAAAUGCGAUGGAAUAUGCGGGAUAUUUA